UACGAAGGGGCUAGCGUUGCUCGGAAUCACUGGGCGUAAAGGGUGCGUAGGCGGGUCUUUAAGUCAGGGGUGAAAUCCUGGAGCUCAACUCCAGAACUGCCUUUGAUACUGAAGAUCUUGAGUUCGGGAGAGGUGAGUGGAACUGCGAGUGUAGAGGUGAAAUUCGUAGAUAUUCGCAAGAACACCAGUGGCGAAGGCGGCUCACUGGCCCGAUACUGACGCUGAGACGCGAAAGCG
rnacentral:rRNA from 1 species